GAUGAACGCUGGCGGCGUGCUUAACACAUGCAAGUCGAACGUGAGAAUAGCAAUAUUUGAAAGUGGCAAACGGGUGAGUAACACGUGGGAACCUGCCUCGAAGUGGGGGAUAACGAUUGGAAACGGUCGCUAAUACCGCACGGUUCUGCUCUGAUGGGAAUGGAGCAGAUAAAGAUUUAUCGCUUUGAGAGGGGCCCGCGGCCGAUUAGCUAGUUGGUAAGGUAAAGGCUUACCAAGGCGAUUAUCGGUAGCUGGUCUGAGAGGACGAUCAGCCACACGGGAACUGAGACACGGUCCCGGACUCCUACGGGGGGCAGCAGUGAGGAAUAUUGGGCAAUGGGCGAAAGCCUGACCCAGCAACGCCGCGUGGAGGAUGAAGGCUUUAGGGUUGUAAACUCCUUUUGUGGGGAAAGGAAUGGAUGGUACCCCAAGAAUAAGUCACGGCUAACUACGUGCCAGCAG
rnacentral:rRNA from 1 species